UGAGUACGAGACGCUAAGGCGUUGAAGUGGUGUAUAUCAGACUUCCAAGAAAAGCUUGCACUGUCAUAAAUAAAAGAUGCCUGUACCAUAACCGACACAGGUGGGUAGGUAGAGUAUACUAAGGGGCGCGAGAUAACUCUCUCUAAGGAACUCGGCAAAAUAACUCCGUAACUUCGGGAGAAGGAGUGCCUUAUUUAUAAGGCUGCAAUAACAAGAUCCAAGCAACUGUUUAUCAAAAACACAGGUCUCCGCUAAGUCGUAAGACGAUGUAUGGGGGCUGACGCCUGCCCAGUGCCAGAAGGUUAAAGAAGUUGGUUAGCAUUAGCGAAGCUGAUAACUGAAGCCCUGGUGAACGGCGGCCGUAACUAUAACGGUCCUAAGGUAGCGAAAUUCCUUGUCGGGUAAGUUCCGACCCGCACGAAAGGCGUAAUGAUUUGGAUACUGUCUCGGAGAGGGGCUCGGUGAAAUAGACUUGUCUGUGAAGAUGCGGACUACCUGCACCAGGACAGAAAGACCCUAUGAAGCUUUACUGUAACCUGAAAUUGAAAUUGGACUUUAGUCGCGCAGCAUAGGUGGGAAGCUUUGACGAUACUCUUGCGGGAGUAUUUGAGCUAUCAGUGAGAUACCACUCUUCUAAUGUUAGAUUUCUAACUUUGAAUCAUUAUCUGGUCAAAGAACAGUUUCAGGCGGGCAGUUUGACUGGGGCGGUCGCCUCCCAAAUGGUAACGGAGGCGUACAAAGGUUUCCUCUGAACGGGUAGAAAUCGUAUCUAGAGUGUAAAGGCAUAAGGAAGCUUGACUGUGAGACCUACAAGUCGAACAGGGACGAAAGUCGGUCUUAGUGAUCUGACGGUACUGAGUGGAAAGGCCGUCACUCAACGGAUAAAAGUUACUCUAGGAUAACAGGCUGAUCUCCCCCAAGAGUUCACAUCGACGGGGAGGUUUGGCACCUCGAUGUCGGCUCAUCGCAUCCUGGGGCGGUAGUACGUCCCAAGGGUUGGGCUGUUCGCCCAUGAAAGCGGUACGCGAGCUGGGUUCAGAACGUCGUGAGACAGUUCGGUCCAUAUCCGGUGUAGGCGUUAGAAUAUUGAGAGGAGCCUUCUUUAGUACGAGAGGACCGAGAAGGACAUACCUAUGGUGUACCAGUUAUCGUGCCAACGGUAAACGCUGGGUAGCUAAGUAUGGAGUGGAUAACCGCUGAAAGCAUCUAAGUGGGAAGCCCACCUCGAGAUGAGUAUUCUCAC
rnacentral:rRNA from 1 species